rnacentral:rRNA from 1 species
GACGAACGCUGGCGGCAUGCCUAAUACAUGCAAGUAGGACGCAGUUGCGAACGGGUGAGUAAAGCGUAGGUAACUACCUAAUAGAGGGGGAUAACUACGGGAAACGAUAGCUAAUACCGCAUACUGGUAGAUGGAGCUGCUUUGUCUUAGCUAUGAGGUAGGGGAAUGGCCUACCUAGGCAACGAUACAUAGCCGACCUUGGAGUGUGAUCGGCCCACCUUGGACUGAGACCAGGCCCAGGCUCCUACGGGAGGCAGCAGUAGGGAAUCAUCGGCAAUGGGGGGAACCCUGACCGAGCAACGCCGCGGGAGUGAAGAAGGUUUUCGGAUCUUAAAGCUCUGUUGUUAAGGAAGCGGUACUUAACCAGAAAGGGACGGCUAACUCCGUGCCAGCAGCCGCGGUAAUAC